UGCGUGUUUCCUGGGCGCUGUAAAGUGAGCAAAAUCCUGUAUGAUGUCUAUUUGAGGUUUAUUACACAGGUUUGAACAAAACAUGAUGGGGCUUCGUCGUGGCCCUGUGGAGUGGGAUGAGGAGGUUUACGGAGGGCCAGAGCUGGCAGAGACACCAAAUUUGAGUGUGUGAGAGCGCGCGCGUAUGUGCGCGUGCGCGGCCAGCGCUGGAGAGUUUGCCAUGGCGCGCGCUGCUCGGCUGCUGCUCCGCGCGGCGCCGCGAUCAGACUGAAGCACCGGGAGCGCGAGGAGGAAGGGAGAAGGGACAGAGCGCGCGCGCCUGAGACACACGGAGAGAUAGAGGGAGUGCGCGAGGGAAGGAAAGAGAAGAGUGAAGGAGGGAAAGGAAAUAAAGGAGAGAGGGAGGCCGAUGUGUUCGUCCUGCUGCUGCCGGAGGGGCACGCGCACACACCCCGGAGCUGCUGGAGAUGCGUCGGCGCGCCGCGGAGAGGCGAGGAGCCUCGUGCACACAGGUACACGCACUAACACACACGCACAUAUUGCACACACACUAACUCACACAAACUCACCCUGCGCGCAUACACACUAGUGCUAAACAGUGCGUAAAAUAAGCUUUAAAGACUUUUAUUACAGUGUUAUUAGUUGUUGCAGUACAUUGAUUUCAUAUUCUGCUGCAGUUUUAGCUUAUUUGCCUCGUUUUGCA
rnacentral:lncRNA from 1 species